GGUUAAGCGACUAAGCGUACACGGUGGAUGCCCUGGCAGUCAGAGGCGAUGAAGGGCGUGCUAAUCUGCGAUAAGCGCCGGUAAGGUGAUAUGAACCGUUAUAACCGGCGAUACCCGAAUGGGGAAACCCAGUGUGAUUCGUCACACUAUCAUUAACUGAAUCCAUAGGUUAAUGAGGCGAACCGGGGGAACUGAAACAUCUAAGUACCCCGAGGAAAAGAAAUCAACCGAGAUUCCCCCAGUAGCGGCGAGCGAACGGGGAGGAGCCCAGAGCCUGAAUCAGCAUGUGUGUUAGUGGAAGCGUCUGGAAAGGCGCGCGAUACAGGGUGACAGCCCCGUACACAAAAGCGCAUGUGCUGUGAGCUCGAUGAGUAGGGCGGGACACGUGGUAUCCUGUCUGAAUAUGGGGGGACCAUCCUCCAAGGCUAAAUACUCCUGACUGACCGAUAGUGAACCAGUACCGUGAGGGAAAGGCGAAAAGAACCCCGGCGAGGGGAGUGAAAAAGAACCUGAAACCGUGUACGUACAAGCAGUGGGAGCACAGGUUUACCUGUGUGACUGCGUACCUUUUGUAUAAUGGGUCAGCGACUUAUAUUCUGUAGCAAGGUUAACCGAAUAGGGGAGCCGGAGGGAAACCGAGUCU
rnacentral:rRNA from 1 species